GAUGAACGCUGGCGGCGUGCCUAAUACAUGCAAGUCGAGCGAAUGGAUUAAGAGCUUGCUCUUAUGAAGUUAGCGGCGGACGGGUGAGUAACACGUGGGUAACCUGCCCAUAAGACUGGGAUAACUCCGGGAAACCGGGGCUAAUACCGGAUAACAUUUUGAACCGCAUGGUUCGAAAUUGAAGGGCGGCUUCGGCUAUCACUUAUGGAUGGACCCGCGUCGCAUUAGCUAGUUGGUGAGGUAACGGCUCACCAAGGCAACGAUGCGUAGCCGACCUGAGAGGGUGAUCGGCCACACUGGGACUGAGACACGGCCCAGACUCCUACGGGAGGCAGCAGUAGGGAAUCUUCCGCAAUGGACGAAAGUCUGACGGAGCAAUGCCGCGUGAGUGAUGAAGGCUUUCGGGUCGUAAAACUCUGUUGUUAGGGAAGAACAAGCGCUAGUUGAAUAAGCUGGCACCUUGACGGUACCUAACCAGAAAGCCACGGCUAACUACGUGCCAGCAGCCGCCGUAA
rnacentral:rRNA from 1 species